CGUGUAGGCGGUUUGUCAAGUCGGGUGUGAAAGCCUGGGGCUCAGCCCCAGAAGUGCAUCCGAAACUAGCGAGCUAGAGCGCGAUAGAGGAGGGUGGAAUUCCUGGUGUAGCGGUGAAAUGCGUAGAUAUCAGGAGGAACACCGGCGGCGAAGGCGGCCCUCUGGAUCGUUGCUGACGCUGAGACGCGAAAGCGUGGGGAGCAAACAGGAUUAGAUACCCUGGUAGUCCACGCCUUAAACGAUGGGUACUAGGUGUUCGGGGUGUUGACCCCCUGAGUGCCGCAGUUAACGCAUUAAGUACCCCGCCUGGGGACUACGGCCGCAAGGUUAA
rnacentral:rRNA from 1 species